rnacentral:lncRNA from 1 species
GUGGGAGUAUACUGGGUAGUUGUUGUUGUUGUUGUUUUUUAAAGAAAUAAAAGGACUUUCAAGAUGAAUUUCCAAGGUAUCUCUUCGUCCCAUUUGAUUCUUUUAAGAAAAGAAAACAUUUACUAUUUAAACAUUUUCUGGGUAUUAAGUUCUUCCAUUAAAGAAGGUAUUUUAUCAGAAUUCUAGCAUUAAAUUAUGAGCUAAGCUAAUGGAAAGUGAUAAUAAAUGUGUUAUUCGGGCUCAAGUUGAUCACACUUAUUCUGGUAAAACUAUUUCUUUCAAUUGACAAUAUAUCGACAGGUAUUCAUACCAGCAAAUUUGACCAAAAAUACAGCCUUUCUCAUCAUAUAAUCUCAACGGAAUUCUAAUUCAGAAAUCCAAGCUUGUAUCGGGAGAAUUUUAUCAGAUUAAAGACCCAUUGGUGGAUCCUCCAAAAAUGCAUCAAAACUAUCACUAAAGAUCCAUUAACCAGUACCACAACUAAGUAAGAAACACACCCAUUCUGAACAUUAAACCAAGAUCGACACUUUUUUUAAAAACAACUGACUGGAACAUAUUAUUAGCCUCAAACUUCAAUAAACUAAUUCUCAACCCCAGUAGUUCCAUUUUGCUAUAUGAAUCAUCUAUAUUCAUUCUGCUCUAUUUGGAACCCGUUUCACCCCAAUUAAGGUCCAAUUUUAUUAGAGGAAAUAAAAAAACCAAAAACAUAAUGAAGUAGGGAGAAAAAAAAAAGGAACUCACUAUCAAGAUAGCUAGCAAGAGAAGUAGAGGUAUAGAUAUCCUCCGGACUUGCCCAAGACAUUGUUGUGCAGGUUUUUCGGUGGCCCAAAAAUAACCGAAAAAUCUCCCAAUUUCAAAUCAAAUUGCAUUGGCAGCUUAAAAUUACCUUCUUGUACACCCCUAACAAGCACUUCACUCAAACACAAAAUAAACCCGAAUUCAAAAACCCUGACUCGUUAAUAUAUAUGGGGAACUUUGAAAGGAAUAAACUUGUUGACUUUUGGGCGUUUUCAGAUCUGAAAAUCCCUAGCCCUAAUUUUGGCAUAUCCCCAAAUAUAGGGCGGAGGUACACAGAACGUGAGAAGUCAUAUAGUGUUUGUGUUUCUCUUAUGUAGGUAUUUUUGUUUAUAUAACAUACUUCCAACAUUCUAAAAGAUCAUUUUGAUAUUC